UAGAUUCACUAGGGGAGCGAAAGCUGAGAAUUGUAAAAUGACCCUUGGAACCUGAUAGAUAAUUCUAGCGUAGGGAAGUGUUAAAUACUUGGA
rnacentral:ncRNA from 2 species